rnacentral:rRNA from 1 species
UGAAUACGAGACGCUAAGGCGUCGAAGUAGUGUAUGUCAUACUUCCAAGAAAAGCUUGCACUGUCAUAAGUAAAAAAUGCCUGUACCAUAACCGACACAGGUGGGUAGGUAGAGUAUACUAAGGGGCGCGAGAUAACUCUCUCUAAGGAACUCGGCAAAAUAACUCCGUAACUUCGGGAGAAGGAGUACCUUAUUCUAUAAGGUUGCAAUAACAAGAUCCAAGCAACUGUUUAUCAAAAACACAGGUCUCCGCUAAGUCGUAAGACGAUGUAUGGGGGCUGACGCCUGCCCAGUGCCAGAAGGUUAAAGAAGUCGGUUAGCAUUAGCGAAGCUGGUAACUGAAGCCCUGGUGAACGGCGGCCGUAACUAUAACGGUCCUAAGGUAGCGAAAUUCCUUGUCGGGUAAGUUCCGACCCGCACGAAAGGCGUAAUGAUUUGGAUACUGUCUCGGAGAGGGGCUCGGUGAAAUAGACUUGUCUGUGAAGAUGCGGACUACCUGCACCAGGACAGAAAGACCCUAUGAAGCUUUACUGUAACUUGAAAUUGAAAUUGGACUUUAUUCGCGCAGUAUAGGUGGGAGGUGUUGAUUAUAAUCUUGCGGGAUUAUUGGAGCCAUCAGUGAGAUACCACUCUUGUAAUGUUAGAUUUCUAACUUUGAAUCAUUAUCUGGUCAAAGGACAGUUUCAGGCGGGCAGUUUGACUGGGGCGGUCGCCUCCCAAACGGUAACGGAGGCGUACAAAGGUUUCCUCUGAACGGGUAGAAAUCGUAUCUAGAGUGUAAAGGCAUAAGGAAGCUUGACUGUGAGACCUACAAGUCGAACAGGGACGAAAGUCGGUCUUAGUGAUCUGACGGUACUGAGUGGAAAGGCCGUCACUCAACGGAUAAAAGUUACUCUAGGAUAACAGGCUGAUCUCCCCCAAGAGUUCACAUCGACGGGGAGGUUUGGCACCUCGAUGUCGGCUCAUCGCAUCCUGGGGCGGUAGUACGUCCCAAGGGUUGGGCUGUUCGCCCAUGAAAGCGGUACGCGAGCUGGGUUCAGAACGUCGUGAGACAGUUCGGUCCAUAUCCGGUGUAGGCGUUAGAAUAUUGAGAGGAGCCUUCUUUAGUACGAGAGGACCGAGAAGGACAUACCUCUGGUGUACCAGUUAUCGUGCCAACGGUAAACGCUGGGUAGCUAUGUAUGGAGUGGAUAACCGCUGAAAGCAUCUAAGUGGGAAGCCCACCUCAAGAUAAGUAUUCUC